GGGCAGGACACUCUACCCUAACGUAGAGCGCAUAUCUGUAAGGAUAGAUAAA
rfam:Lasius niger Lnig_2.1_9315, whole genome shotgun sequence.